rnacentral:rRNA from 1 species
AGGUUAACCGUAUAGGGGAGCCGUAGGGAAACCGAGUCUUAACUGGGCGAAUGAGUUGCAGGGUAUAGACCCGAAACCCGGUGAUCUAUCCAUGGGCAGGUUGAAGGUUGGGUAACACUAACUGGAGGACCGAACCGACUAAUGUUGAAAAAUUAGCGGAUGACUUGUGGAUGGGGGUGAAAGGCCAAUCAAACCGGGAGAUAGCUGGUUCUCCCCGAAAGCUAUUUAGGUAGCGCCUCGUGAACUCAUCUUCGGGGGUAGAGCACUGUUUCGACUAGGGGGUCAUCCCGACUUACCAACUCGAUGCAAACUGCGAAUACCGAAGAAUGUUAUCACGGGAGACACACGGCGGGUGCUAACGUCCGUCGUGAAGAGGGAAACAACCCAGACCGCCAGCUAAGGUCCCAAAGUCAUGGUUAAGUGGGAAACGAAGUGGGAAGGCUCAGACAGCCAGGAUGUUGGCUUAGAAGCAGCCAUCAUUUAAAGAAAGCGUAAUAGCUCACUGGUCGAGUCGGCCCGCGCGGAAGAUGUAACGGGGCUAAACCAUGCACCGAAGCUGCGGCAGCGACACAAAGUGUUGUUGGGUAGGGGAGCGUUCUGUAAGCCUGCGAAGGUGUACUGUGAGGUAUGCUGGAGGUAUCAGAAGUGCGAAUGCUGACAUAAGUAACGAUAAUGCGGGUGAAAAACCCGCACGCCGGAAGACCAAGGGUUCCUGUCCAACGUUAAUCGGGGCAGGGUGAGUCGACCCCUAAGGCGAGGCUGAAAAGCGUAGUCGAUGGGAAACGGGUUAAUAUUCCCGUACUGGUGGUAACUGCGAUGGGGGAACGGAGAAGGCUAGGUUGUCCGGGCGACGGUCGUCCCGGUUCAAGCAGGUAGGCAGAGUGAUUAGGCAAAUCCGGUCACUUAAUGCUGAGAUGUGAUGACGAACCACUAAGGUGGUGAAGCAAUUGAUGCCCCGCUUCCAGGAAAAGCCUCUAAGCUUCAGGUUACCAACAAUCGUACCCCAAACCGACACAGGUGGUCAGGUAGAGAAUACUCAGGCGCUUGAGAGAACUCGGGUGAAGGAACUAGGCAAAAUGGUGCCGUAACUUCGGGAGAAGGCACGCUGGCGGUAGGUAAAGUCCCUCGCGGACGGCGCUGAAGCCAGUCGAAGAUACCAGCUGGCUGCAACUGUUUAUUAAAAACACAGCACUGUGCAAACACGAAAGUGGACGUAUACGGUGUGACGCCUGCCCGGUGCUGGAAGGUUAAUUGAUGGGGUUAGCGCAAGCGAAGCUCCUGAUCGAAGCCCCAGUAAACGGCGGCCGUAACUAUAACGGUCCUAAGGUAGCGAAAUUCCUUGUCGGGUAAGUUCCGACCUGCACGAAUGGCGUAAUGAUGGCCAGGCUGUCUCCACCCGAGACUCAGUGAAAUUGAACUCGCUGUGAAGAUGCAGUGUACCCGCGGCAAGACGGAAAGACCCCGUGAACCUUUACUAUAGCUUGACACUGAACAUUGAGCCUUGAUGUGUAGGAUAGGUGGGAGGCUUUGAAGUGUGGACGCCAGUCUGCAUGGAGCCAACCUUGAAAUACCACCCUUUAACGUUUGAUGUUCUAACCUAGGCCCAUAAACUGGGUCGGGGACCGUGUCUGGUGGGUAGUUUGACUGGGGCGGUCUCCUCCUAAAGAGUAACGGAGGAGCACGAAGGUUGGCUAAGCAUGGUCGGACAUCAUGCGGUUAGUGCAAAGGCAUAAGCCAGCUUGACUGCGAGAGUGACGGCUCGAGCAGGUACGAAAGUAGGUCUUAGUGAUCCGGUGGUUCUGAAUGGAAGGGCCAUCGCUCAACGGAUAAAAGGUACUCCGGGGAUAACAGGCUGAUACCGCCCAAGAGUUCAUAUCGACGGCGGUGUUUGGCACCUCGAUGUCGGCUCAUCACAUCCUGGGGCUGAAGUAGGUCCCAAGGGUAUGGCUGUUCGCCAUUUAAAGUGGUACGCGAGCUGGGUUUAGAACGUCGUGAGACAGUUCGGUCCCUAUCUGCCGUGGGCGUUGGAAGAUUGAGAGGGGUUGCUCCUAGUACGAGAGGACCGGAGUGAACGCACCACUGGUGUUCGGGUUGUCAUGCCAAUGGCAUUGCCCGGUAGCUAAGUGCGGAAGAGAUAACCGCUGAAAGCAUCUAAGCGGGAAACUUGCCUCGAGAUGAGUCUUCCCUGUCGCUUUAAGCGACCUAAAGGAACGUUUAAGACUAAGACGUUGAUAGGCUGGGUGUGUAAGCGUAGCGAUACGUUGAGCUAACCAGUACUAAUGAACCGUGAGGCUUAACCUG